UACGGAGGGUGCAAGCGUUAAUCGGAAUUACUGGGCGUAAAGCGUGCGCAGGCGGUUUUGUAAGACUGUCGUGAAAUCCCCGGGCUUAACCUGGGAAUGGCGAUGGUGACUGCAAGGCUAGAGUUUGGCAGAGGGGGGUAGAAUUCCACGUGUAGCAGUGAAAUGCGUAGAUAUGUGGAGGAACACCGAUGGCGAAGGCAGCCCCCUGGGUCAAAACUGACGCUCAUGCACGAAAGCGUGGGGAGCAAACAGG
rnacentral:rRNA from 1 species